rnacentral:rRNA from 1 species
UACGGGGGGAGCAAGCGUUGUUCGGAUUUACUGGGCGUAAAGGGCGCGUAGGCGGCCACCGCAAGUCGAUUGUGAAAUCUCCGGGCUUAACCCGGAAAGGUCAACCGAUACUGCGGGGCUAGAGUGCAGAAGGGGCAACUGGAAUUCUCGGUGUAGCGGUGAAAUGCGUAGAUAUCGAGAGGAACACCUGCGGCGAAGGCGGGUUGCCUGGGCUGACACUGACGCUGAAGUGCGAAAGCUAGGGGAGCGAACGGG